rnacentral:rRNA from 1 species
UACGUAGGGUGCAAGCGUUGUCCGGAAUUAUUGGGCGUAAAGAGCUCGUAGGCGGUUUGUCGCGUCUGGUGUGAAAAUCCAGGGCUUAACCCUGGACCUGCAUCGGGUACGGGCAGACUAGAGUGCGGUAGGGGAGAUCGGAAUUCCUGGUGUAGCGGUGAAAUGCGCAGAUAUCAGGAGGGACACCGGUGGCGAAGGCGGAUCUCUGGGCCGUAACUGACGCUGAGGAGCGAAAGCAUGGGGAGCGAACAGG